rnacentral:rRNA from 1 species
GAUGAACGCUGGCGGCGUGCCUAAUACAUGCAAGUCGAGCGAACAGACGAGGAGCUUGCUCCUCUGACGUUAGCGGCGGACGGGUGAGUAACACGUGGAUAACCUACCUAUAAGACUGGGAUAACUUCGGGAAACCGGAGCUAAUACCGGAUAAUAUAUUGAACCGCAUGGUUCAAUAGUGAAAGACGGUUUUGCUGUCACUUAUAGAUGGAUCCGCGCCGCAUUAGCUAGUUGGUAAGGUAACGGCUUACCAAGGCAACGAUGCGUAGCCGACCUGAGAGGGUGAUCGGCCACACUGGAACUGAGACACGGUCCAGACUCCUACGGGAGGGAGCAGUAGGGAAUCUUCCGCAAUGGGCGAAAGCCUGACCGAGCAACGCCGCGUGAGUGAAGAAGGUCUUCGGAUUGUAAAACUCUGUUAUUAGGGAAGAACAAAUGUGUAAGUAACUAUGCACGUCUUGACGGUACCUAAUCAGAAAGCCACGGCUAACUACGUG